GGGCCUUAAGCUUAAGCUGUAUGAGCGUCCGGUUCAUAACCGGGAGGUACUGGGUUCGAAUCCCUGCAGGCCCACCA
rnacentral:tRNA from 1 species